rnacentral:lncRNA from 1 species
AUCAAAAGACAGAAUCUUGAUGACUAAGACAUUUUCUUUGGACCCAGGAGAUGAAUAUAUGCCUGAGAAGAAGAACUAGUGUGGAACUGUCAGCCAGGUUUUUGAUGAGUGCUCAGACUGCUUCCUGAUCCAGCACCACAUUUACUAUAGUGGACAGAUGCUCUAGUCUCUGAUGAGGAGUUGCUAGCUGUUAGGAAGAACCUGGAAUGGGCUCCACUGCAUGAGGUUUGAAGUCUCCAGAGCAGCAAAGAGAGUGGGGAGUAGAACUCAUCAUCUUUAGGUCACUCAGCAUCGA